rfam:Helianthus annuus linkage group 15, whole genome shotgun sequence.
UUUUGGGCUUAGUUAGUCAUGGAGCACAUGAAAACUUCAAAGUUAAGCGUGCUCAGGUGGGAGUAGUACUAGGAUGGGUGACCUCCCGGGAAAUCUGCAUUAGGGCAACCA